rnacentral:rRNA from 1 species
AUUGAACGCUGGCGGCAGGCCUAACACAUGCAAGUCGAGCGGAGCGGCGGACGGGUGCGUAAUGCCUAGGAAUCUGCCUGGUAGUGGGGGAUAACGUCCGGAAACGGGAGCUAAUACCACUUACUCUCAGAUGAGCCUAGGUCGGAUUAGCUAGUGGGUGGGGUAAAGGCCUACAAAGGCGACGAUCCGUAACUGGUUUGGGAGGAUGAUCAGUCACACUGGAACGGAGAAACGGUCCAGACUCCUACGGGAGGCAGCAGUGGGGAAUAUUGGACAAUGGGCGAAAGCCUGAUCCAGCCAUGCCGCGUGUGUGAAGAAGGUCUUCGGAUUGUAAAGCACUUUAAGUUGGGAGGCGUUACCAACAGAAUAAGCACCGGCUAACUCCGUGCCAGCAGCCGCGGUAAUUC